ACAGCCGCCCUCGGAAAGUGCAAAAGCAGCCACGAGACAGAUCCAGGCUUUGUUGCUAAUUUCCCAGGGUGAAAAUUGACAAGCCUGGGAGUGCAGUCAGCACAACCCAUUGCAUAUGCUACUGACAAACGCUGGGGACAUCCCCUCCCACCCAUGCCUAUCACACAGAGAAUGUGACCUCUGCAGGACUGGACUCUGGAAGGACCCUACCUCCAGGACUCGCCCACAAGAAGAACUGCAAAAGAGCUCCAAAGGAGAAGGAAAAAAAAUCAUCAGAAAAACCCCCGUGCAGAUGAAGAGGCUUGAUGCUUAAUGCGCACAGAUGUGAUCGCCAGUGGUCGCCGACAAUGAAAUAUACAAGUGCACACAAAGUGAUCCGGUGAACAAGAGGUGGAAUUUAAUCAUCUUCUGCUGACACUUUGUGAAAAACACCAUUAACCCUCAGCAAACCCCUGUUUUCCUGGCUCCCUGUAACCCCUAAAGUCUCAGCCCCUCCUCCCAAGGAGAAAAAGUGAAAGAAGAAUUUGUGGUUUUGUUUACUCAGCCAAGCUAAAGGUUGGAUCCAGCCAGAUGAAAACUUUAAGGAACAAUGAAGGAGAGAGGUGCCGCUCUGAACCGGGACUAAGGUGCAGAACUGGAGUGAGCUGUUCUCCAACUCCUGAAUUUGAACCCUGGACUGAAUAAAAGCUUUAAGACCACAAGACAAACACAAAGUUUAUAGCCAACUCGUUUUUCAAGUGUAGUGUCUCUGCUACAGUCCUUGCUACUCUCUCCUUGGGAAGGUGCCUUCCAAGGUUCACCGUGGCUCCUCUGUACAUGUCCCUAUUCAGGAGGGCCUGGACUCUUCUUCAAUUUUCUGGUAUGGAAGACAUAUGUGGUAUCAAUUAUUCCAGGACCCAGAUCACUUCUUUCCUUUUAAAAUGCCACCAAGCAUCCUAAGAAAGUGUGAUGGUGUUUGGUGUUUGGAGGGUUUUAAAAUUGGGCACUUUGAAGCUAGCAGGCAGCACUGGCUCUACACACUGUUUUAAGUAGCUUUUCCAUGCUCAGGUGCUACUCCCCCACUAACUCCCCAAACUGCUUCCACAUUCUCCCGCUCCUGCCCUCUGCAUGCUUUACCAAUGUGCACAUAGCUGUUCUUGGGCAUAGAUGGUGCAUGCUAGGGGGAUUGUUUGAAAGGGUAAUUAAUAGGCAUAAGAUCCUGUCCUCAUCUGAUAUAUUUUAUAACUUAUUUUUUAUCAAAAAUGAAUUUCAAAUAUUCUGUUGCCAUCUCAGACAUACCAGCAUACAGCCUAAAAAUAGGUACAGUCACCAGAGCUAUGGUGACGGAUCAAACAAAUCUAUCUGCCAUCAAACUCAUGUUCUUGACUUGGGAAUCUCUCUGUGAAACACAGGGCAUUUCUGAGGAAAGCAAAGCCUGGUGACUGAAUGAAACCUUAGAUUUAUCCCCCUAAGGACAGAAUAGUUUUACAGUCAUGCUUUAAUUUUCCUUUGUAUUUUAUACCUUUGACAUUUCGUGGACAAAUGUAAGGAGCAGCAAGGCUGUUGACAGGCCUGGGGAUGACGAAGGAAGGACUAAGCGUUUUCUUCAUUCAAACAAGGCAGAAAGUGAAACCACGUAGUCUAAUGGUCAGUGUCUCAAUAAGAUGAGAAUAAACAGAAAGAGGCUCCGUGUCUUAUUUAUAUUUUAUCAGAGGUUAUUGCUGUAGAACCGUGAAGCACAAUAAAUAGCAUUCUGUUAGCAGCCAUUUGAAAGAAAAUGUUCAUCACUUUCAAAUAAAAUUACUUCCCUCAACAAAGUGUAUACUCUAUCUAGCCUCACGUUCCUCCAAGGAGCUAAGAAAUGGAGGAUGUUUUAAUGCCCUCACACAAGCCACGUAACUAAUAAACAACUCGAGCCAGCGUUAAUCACUGACCACCUCCUACCAUGGGACAGACAGAUGCACACACACACACACACACACACACACACACACACACUUUAAUUUAAAAGGACAAUGGAUAAUAAUGUGAAAAGAAAAUGCAGCAGCUGCGAUCUUAUUUACAGGAUCUAGCGGGGAAUACACUUCAGGGGGAAAAAAAGAUAUUAUGAUAAGCAGCACUUUGGUUUAUAAGAAAGCAAAGAACAGAAUCUUGAAGUCAUCUGGCUGGCUUGAGAUGUCUCUCAGAGUCACUCCAUUAAAGCAAAUUGCUCUCAUUCUAAAUAACCCUGCACAACAAAACAAGACCUUUAAGAGUAGCCAAUAUUCAAAAUGGCCUACCCAAAUAUUUGUUGCGUCUCCCACUUCCAUGUAUGUAGCAACAGACUUGUUUUGAUGUAAAACCACCUAAGUGAUGUAUGUCAUGGCCCCACUACUUCCCCACAAGUUCUAUACGUUUGCAUUUCUAGAAUAAAAGACAUCUUAUCUUUGUCU